rnacentral:rRNA from 1 species
UACGUAGGGGCCUAGCGUUGUCCGGAAUCAUUGGGCGUAAAGAGCUCGUAGGCGGUUCGGCAAGUCACGUGUGAAAUCUCCACGCUUAACGUGGAGGCGCCACGUGAAACUGCCGUGACUCGAGUCCGGUAGGGGAGUGUGGAAUUCCCGGUGUAGCGGUGAAAUGCGUAGAUAUCCGGAAGAACACCAAAGGCGAAGGCAGCAUCCUGGGAAGCACCUGACGCUCAGAUGCGAAAGCCAGGGGAGCGAACGGG